AUUGAACGCUGGCGGCAGGCCUAACACAUGCAAGUCGGGCGAGAGGCGCACGGGUGAGUAAUGUAUGGGGAUCUGCCUGGUGGAGGGGGAUAACUACUGGAAACGGUAGCUAAUAACGCAUACCAUCAGAUGAACACAUAUGGGAUUAGCUUGUAGGUGAGGUAACGGCUCCCCUAGGCGACGAUCCAUAGAUGGUCUGAGGGGAUGAUCAGCCACACUGGAACUGACACACGUCCCAGAGUCCGACGUGAGGCAGCAGUGGUGAAUAUUGCACAAUGGGCGCAAGCCUGAUGCAGCCAUGCCGCGUGUAUGAAGAAGGCCUUCGGGUUGUAAAGUACUUUCAGUCGGGAGGCGUUACCCACAGAAGAAGCACCGGCUAACUCCGUGCCAGCAGCCGCGGUAAUAC
rnacentral:rRNA from 1 species